GGCGGACGGGUGAGUAAUGCCUAGGAAAUUGCCCUGAUGUGGGGGAUAACCAUUGGAAACGAUGGCUAAUACCGCAUAAUGCCUACGGGCCAAAGAGGGGGACCUUCGGGCCUCUCGCGUCAGGAUAUGCCUAGGUGGGAUUAGCUAGUUGGUGAGGUAAGGGCUCACCAAGGCGACGAUCCCUAGCUGGUCUGAGAGGAUGAUCAGCCACACUGGAACUGAGACACGGUCCAGACUCCUACGGGAGGCAGCAGUGGGGAAUAUUGCACAAUGGGCGCAAGCCUGAUGCAGCCAUGCCGCGUGUAUGAAGAAGGCCUUCGGGUUGUAAAGUACUUUCAGUCGUGAGGAAGGUUCAUGCGUUAAUAGCGUAUGGAUUUGACGUUAGCGACAGAAGAAGCACCGGCUAACUCCGUGCCAGCAGCCGCGGUAAUACGGAGGGUGCGAGCGUUAAUCGGAAUUACUGGGCGUAAAGCGCAUGCAGGUGGUUAGUUAAGUCAGAU
rnacentral:rRNA from 1 species